UAAAGCGGCGGAUUGCUAAUCCGUAGUACGGAUAAUCCGUACCGAGGGUUCGAAUCCCUCUCUCUCCG
rnacentral:tRNA from 1 species